UACAGAGGUGGCAAGCGUUGUUCGGAAUUACUGGGCGUAAAGGGCGCGUAGGCGGCCAUCUAAGUCAGACGUGAAAUCCCCCGGCUCAACCUGGGAACUGCGUCUGAUACUGGGAGGCUAGAGUUUGGGAGAGGGAUGUAGAAUUCCAGGUGUGAGCGGUGAAAUGCGUAGAUAUCUGGAGGAAUACCGGUGGCGAAGGCGGCAUCCUGGACCAAUACUGACGCUGAGGCGCGAAAGCUAGGGGAGCAAACGGG
rnacentral:rRNA from 1 species